AGUACUUAAAUGUUAUGAAUUGAAAGCCGCUCAGCAUACCCAAUCCAGAACGCCUCCCAUUUUGUGAGAAGUGAGAACUGAGAAUCCCACGCGCUCUACAGAAAAAUGGGGAAACCGUUGGGGACGACCGGGGAGUUCUUCAAGAGGAGGGACGAGUGGAGGAAGCAUCCGAUGCUCACCAAUCAGUUCCGCCGCGCAGUUCCUGGCCUUGGCAUUGGCUUAGUCGCCUUCGGCAUCUAUCUUGUUGGGGAACAAGUUUACAACAAGCUUUAUGCUCCUUCCUCUGGCCACCACGCCUCGUCGCCUUCUCAUUCUCACUGAUUGAAACAAUAUUUGUUUGAUUUGUGUUUCUCAGUUUUUCCUUCCUUCUCCCCAAGUAACGUUAUCAAUUAUAUGGACGAUUGGUGGCAUGUCAAAGAUGGAAGCAUCCUGCAUUAAAAUUUCCGCCUUGGUGAUUUGGAUCAAUAAGUUCUCAUGUCAUUGAGACUUAAGUCUCUGAUAAAUUUCUUCUUGUUUGUCUGGAUAUGGCACUUAUAUCUGAGAUGUUCUGUAGAUUUUUAGUUUGCUGCCUUGUAAUUUUGGUAACUUGGUAACCCUAUCUGCUUAUCAUGUUAAUGUUUUAGAUUUUGUGCCUGUUUAGCAUUA